AUUAGGAUCACAUCACGUGAAUCUUGUUUCCUUCCCUUCAAGUCUCUGCUCAAGGGUGGACUCAAGGGAAUUAUUAUUGUGUUGUGAUGCUUCUCUUGGGUGGAGAGGCUACUUGGAAGGGUAAAUCUUAUUGCAUUUCAGGUACAAUUUGCAACAGGUGAUUUACUAUUACUUAGUUCCAGCAGGUUGUUUUCAGGGAUAAAUAAGCAUUUAUUUUCUGCAAAAA